AACACAAUUAACAUUCGAAAGUCAACUGGACACCGGUACAGAGUGAUAUACAAAUUUGCUUGCCUAGCAGACAAAAACACUGGACUCGGAUGUCGGGCAAUGGGUUAUUUCCACCCCUGGUAAUCAUCAAAUCUGAUAGUACAGACUACUACACUGUUUGAUUACUUUACAGGAACCUUGUGUAACCUGAAUAAUAAUUGGGGGUCCUCUGGACACCAUUUUGUAAAACCCUUGUACAGAUGGAUUUUUUGGUUUUACUAGUUUCUGAAUUGCAUUUGUGAAUCUAUUUAGAUCCUGAAACCUCACUGGGGUCAGGAAGGCGAGGUCUGAAAAACACUAACCACUCAACCCAGUUUUCUUUGACAUGAUAUAUUUGAAAAUAUUUGAAGGUGACAAUGUUUCGAAAUUACUGAUAGCAUUUGGUAGUAUGAUUUCAGUUAACCAAAGUAUUGAUAUCUGAUAUCUUUGCUCUAAAUUAGAUGCUUAAAAAAUAUUUAAUUUAAUUAAGAAUCAUCGUAGAUUGAAAACUAGAUACACCUGAAAAGUUUUGUGUUAUUUACUAAAUAGGAAGGUGUGUGGGAACAAGGCUGAACUUGUUAGACCAUAAAGCAUUGCAAGUACUGAUGUUAGAUGUUAAUGAGGGUCCUGGGGUCCUGUAGGGGUGCUGCUAUGUUAAUUUUAACAUGGAUUUGGCUUUGCUUGUUCUUGGACUGUGAUCUUAUGACUGUGAUUGUUGUAAGUCUGUUAAACUAUAGGCAUUACAUUCAUCUUAGUUCUAAUAUCCCUGGGGCGGAGGGGUAGCCUGAUGGUUAAAGCGUUCGCUUGUCAUCCCGAAGACCUGGGUUCGAUUCCCCACAUGAGUACAAUGUGUGAAGCUCAUUUCUGGUGUCCCCCGCCGUGAUAUUGCUGGAAUAUUGCUAAAAGUGGCGUAAGACCAAACUCACUCACUCUAAUAUCCCUUUGUGGAACGGAACACUGGGUGUGAUACUGUGCUAGUCUUCUUUAAUGACGAGAAUUAAGCAAUCUUAGUGCUAAGGUGAUUAUAACUUCAGUGUGUACCCCACACUAACAGCAAUCAAAUCUCUUUCAAUCAGUGAUAGUGAAACAAGGCUUUCAUCUAAGCAUCCGCAUUCUUUGUGUAAGUAACCUUGAUAAUAUUGUCAUUGUCGGCAAGCAAGUUAUCAGUUAGAUAGACAACCCUGGCUACAUGUUAAUCUUCCAAACUAUUUCUUUGUGUCUUCAAAACACACUGCUUAAAAACAUCUCGUUCCAAAUCAUAAAACAACAGAGACAUACAGACUGUAUAUUUCCUCACACCCAAUAUGGAAUAAUCUGUUUCUUCAAUAUUCACUAUAGCCUGAAUGUUUUAACGACAACAUUUCACUUCUACUACUCUGAUUAUUCUUAAUUUUGGUUAUCAUGGUAUUAACCUUAGUUUUCUACCUGGGGCGGUGGCUAGCCUAGUGGUUAAAGCAUUCGCUCAUCAAGGCGAAGACCUGGGUUUGAUUCCCCACAUUGGUACAAUGUGUGAAGCCCAUUUCUGAUGUUCCCGUUGUGAUAUUGCUGGCAUAUUGCUAAAAGCAGCAUAAAACUAAACUCACUCACUCACUCUAGCCUGAUUAUUCUUAAUUUUGUUUACCACGGUGAUAACCUUAGUUUUUUACCCUGUUUAUAUUGCACUGAUGAGCGACCAUGCCUGCCAUCAGCUUAAUGAAGUGCAGUAUCGACUUGGUGGAAUUUACAAAGUAGUUCGUAUUCUUAUUUUUACAGCUUUAUUACCUACUGAGAUUUGUAUCUGUGUGCUGGUUAGGAAAUAUUAUAAUGAAGUGCUAUAUUUAGUUCUCAUUUUGAAUAAAAAAAUUCUCGUGUUUUAUUUACUUUUUGGAUAUGGACUCGUUUUUCUGCAUUUCUCUUUACAUGUGAAGCUAAAAUUAAGUGGUCUUCACAUAGUAAAGCAUGACUUACUACUGAUUGUGGAUCGGAGUAUCAGUGAGAUAUGAUUUGUAUUGGAUAGUGCUCAACUGGUUGAUAGAUUGCAGUAGUUGUAAAUCAACUUGCCAUCGGAACUUUUGUUUGGGUUAUAUGACAGGAAAAAGGGGCCCAUUGAAGGUGUAGAGCUUUGAUACAAGGCAUCCUUGAGCCUGUAUUAUCACAAUGUAAAUUUAAAUGGACGCUUAGCUUCAGUUCCCGGGAUUAAAUCCGAGUCAUUUAGCUUCUCUGGGAGUGGACUGUUCGUAAUGUCAUGCUUUGACUAGACUGAUUUUCAUUGCGAUUUUUGCCAGAAAUUUGGCUUAACUUAGCUUUGUCAUGUGAAUGGGAAAGGAGGCCCUUUAAGGGUUUGUUUAUCAGUUACUUCAAAGUAAAUAUUAUUAUUUGUUGUACCAGUUGAGCACAGACUCACGUUUAGUGAGUGUCAAAAAGAUAAAGGUUUAACUGUGUGUCUUUUGUAAUAGGAUUAAUUGGUUUUCCAUUUAAUUUGAAUAACAUUGCCAAGCCUGAGAUAAUUGUUUUUCUAGUCUAUUCUUUUUGUUACAUUGAUGACCUCAGGGUGUGAAAAUAUUGUGUUAUUAAGUAGCAAGAUGUCAACUUGUUUUAUGGUGCUGUUUUCUGUAGGACAUGAUAGAGGCCCUGUGGCAUUUAUGACAGGGAUUACCUAAAUGGAUAAUCCUUCAGCUUAUUAGGUUCAGUACUAGAUUAUAUCUUCAUUGUCUGAUUUUGACAUGUGCCAGUAUAUACAGGGAUAUACUGCUUCUUAGUCUAAAUAAGAUUGCCUGUUGGAUAACUUUUUCCAGUGAACCCAGAGUUCUUUCCCUAAAGCUAAGGAAGGAAAAGACAACAUUAUUCAGUGGUAUAAUUGGGUUAUAGUUUUAGCAUUGUUUUUGUUUAUUAGUGGUAUCUAGGGGCCGAAAUAUAACCUGUAUAUUUCUGUAAGUGCCUGAGAGCUAAAAAUAUUAUUUGAUAUAUCAUAGCAGUAAGGAGUAUGUCGUUAGAAAAUAGAUUCAUUACUCUCAUGGUUAGUUGCAAAUUCGGCAGUAUCUUGUUUAAUUUACUGGGCUUCCAGUUUUCUGUGUAUUCCCCAGGGAGUUGAGAAUGAUGAAGAGCACAUGUGUUACGAACAUACCAACAGGCAAAACAAUGCACUCUUACAUAAUGUAUUUGUUAUUAUUGUUGUAUGUAAGUCUGAGGUAACCUACCGUCAUAGUGAGCAAGCAGUCGUGAAGAAUUUCGACCCACCACAAAGAAACUAGACUAUCUUUCAAACCUGUUUGCAGUGUACUUAUUGAGUCAAGUCGUACCAGAAUCACUACUUUGCAAUAUAUGAAAAUAUAGAUCUGAUAAAAUAUCAAUCUUUUUGUCAUAUCUUGACUUAGGCAAAAUUCCUACCACUACCGCAAGCAUUAGCAUUUAUAAACUGUCUUCAUUUCUUUCAAGAAUCAAUGUAUGUUAUUAUGAUAUUGUAAAAAUGCUGAUGUUUGUUCUUUGAAAACCAAAUUCUCUCAGUCUUAUGCCUGUUGCCUGGGUUCUGAUACAGAUGAGAGUUUGAGGACAAAGUGUCUAGUGGUAUAUUUUUUUUUUUGUUUUGUUUUUGAGAAUUAUAAAAUUAUUUGUUAUUGUAAUUACGGACCAACAUAUUGUAGAAUGUCCCAUACCAGUAUAAUCAAAAGUGCUGUGGUUGAAAAUGUGUUUACAUGAUUUUUGUGUGUUUAACAAACAAUAUUUAACCUGCAAUCAAAACUGAAUAAAGUUACAGUACAUUUAUAUAUUAUCCUGUACCUUUUGGCAUAUAGACUGUGAAACAGGUAAUGCUGAAAUUAAAUUUGUUCCGACCUUAUACAUAUAAUAAUGUAAAUGGAGAAUUAUAACUGUAGUUUUUGCUGAAGUUAGUUCACAACCAGCUUCUAACGUAUUUAGUGCUAGAUCCCUCUAUAGGAUAGUUGAUGUGUACUGUUAUGUAAUUAAAAUGAAAUCUUUAGAUAAUGACAUAUAUGUCAUAAUAGACAUAUUUUUAAAGAUGACAGAGACCUCAGGAGAGUGACACUGUGGAUUAUUUGUGUUUUGUAUGCUAUGAAAGUAAUGAUGUUGAUACAUUGUACAGUGAUGUAGUCCGUUACUUUGUUAUCUGUAUAUUGAACCUCACUCAAGCACCUGUCUUACAUUCAGUGCACAUCCAAAUUUAAAUAUUUUUUAAAACAAAAUCUGCAAGGUGUGCCUCAGUCUGUGAUAAAUUUGUGUAGAUAUUCUAGUCCCACCUGAGCUAUUUUUUGUGUAUUCAUUUUCUGAAACGUCCACUUUUAAGUCUGACAGUGCUGUGUUAUUUUGUAGCCUGUUUCUAGGCCCUAUUGUUUGCAAUGUCAAGACGCAAUAGUAAUGUGAUGCUGUAUGUGUAUUGUAUAUCUUCAGUAUAUAUUUGUACUAUAGAAUUUGGGGUAAACCAUCUUCAGAAUAUGUGGUUCCUUUGUUGGUUGGUUGGUUGUUUAAUGCCGCACUCAGCAAUAUUACAGCUAUAUGGCGGCGGUCUGUAAAUAAUGGAGUCUGGACCAGAGAAUCCAUUGACAGUUCCUUUAUACACCAAUACAUGAACUUCCAAUUUUGUUGCCAUAGUUUCAAGAGUAGACAUUCAGUUGCUUCAAGAAAUUGGAUAGUCAUGCUGAGUGGAUUUACAUUUCUCAUUACCCAUGUUUCACAAAAAAUACAGUUAAAAUGUAGCAAAAUGGGGUCGAGUGAUUCUUCUUUCAGAAACAGCAGUAAUCUAGACUUACCAACUAUUCUAGACUUGCAUGGGCUCCUUAGACUUUUUUAUGAUCUGUAGCAGACUUAUAGGUGGCCAACUUUUAGCUUAAAGGGACAAAUAGGUGGCCAACUUUUAGCUUAAAGGGACAAAUAGGUGGCCAAUAGACUUUUUUAUAAUCUGUAUUGCAGACUUAUAGGUGGCCAACUUUUAGCUAAAAGCGACCAAUAGGUGGCUAACUUUUAGCUAAAAACGACCAAUAGGUGGCCAACUUUUAGCUAAAAGCGCUCAGUAGGUGGUCAACUUUUAGCUAAAAGCGACCAAUAGGUGGCCAACUUUCAGCUAAAAGCGACCAAUUAGGUGGCCAGCCUCUGCCAAACUUGAACUCUACCAGCAAACUAAGGUGACACAGCUACCUUCUUGUUUCUGAAUAUGGUUUACCAGAGGUUAGUCCCAGCACUGUGUGUUACAAUCAGUUUGAUUCUUUGUAUGCAUUUAUAGAGGAAUACUGUCUCCAGAUCUAUUGUUUUGUUCAUUGUAAUAUUGUUUAUUUUGUACUGUUAGUCAUUCUUGCUCAAGGCAGAUAUAUGUGCAUUUUGUAGUUCUAGAUAAUUAUAGUCAUGGUGUAAUAACAUAUAGCUGAUGUUCAGUGGAACACAUCUGUCUGAAUGGAACUCAAAUCUUGAAAGGAAGUGAUUCCCUGCUGUGAAGUUCUGAAAUGACAUUCUCAUGUAGUGAGCAUCAUAUACAACUGAACAAAGUUAUUUGUCACAGAUUUGUUUCAUCUUACACAGCUUGACAGACUUGUAGUAAUAGGAAAGAACUGUGUGAUCCUGAACUGACUGAUUAGUAUGUGUUGAUGCUAAAUCAAAACAACUUCACCCUUUGUGAAGACUUCAAUCUGAGGUUGCUUCAGGUGAACUUUAAUCAACCAGUGAGCAUUGAGGCUUGUAAAGUGCCAUCAGAGCUUUCAGAACAGCACAUCUGAUUUCAGUAUCUCACAAAUAUAUAUAUACAUGCAGGCAUUCCAAACUGAAAUAUUACAAAGGUCUUUGCUUUGUUUUAUAAACCCUAUUGUUUCCUAUGGCAUCUUCACCCAUGAAUAGGGGUGGUGGGGUAGCCUAAUGGUUAAAGCGUUGGCUCGUCACGCCGAAGACCCGGUUCGAAUCCCCACAUGGGUACAAUGUGUGAAGCCCAUUUCAGGUGUACCCCCGCCAUGAUGUUGCUGGAAUAUUGCUAAAAGCGGCGUAAAACCAAACUCAGUCAGUCAGUCAGUCACCCAUGAAUAUGCUCGAUGAAAGAAAUAUUUAUCUUCUGUAUGGGUUUUCUUUUCUGAAAUUAGUUUCAUAAUCAAGGUGGCACAGAAAUGAAAGUCAUUUAUAAAGCUGAUAACGUAUUGGCUCAAUAAUUAGAUUGUGCGGUCAAAAUUUGCUCAUGGUCCACCUGGUGUGACUUCUUAUUAAAGUGGUUUUGCCGACACUCAUGCAGAGAGGUUGUUCCAUCAUGGAAAUACAUGGCUUGUGGAAAGGUCUUCUCUUUUUACCAGAGGAUGUAGCAGUCCUAUCAGAUUAGUACAUCUAGAGGUGAGAAGAAUCUCCACAAACCAUAUACACCCAUGUUGAUGCAGGGAAUCAAAAACACUAGAUAUUCAAAAUGUCUUUGCCUUAGAUUGUAGUUUCUCUUUGAAAUGCAGAACAGAGAACUGCUGCUUUCAAACACUGAAUAGGUUAUAUGAGUGACAAACCAAAGAUAUUUGAUUUAUUUAUGCAAACACAUAUUUCUUGCCAUCAGUUAAAGUCUGUGUGAAGUUAAUGUUUAAGUUGCUUGUAACCUGAAUAUAUUUUGUCAAACAGAAUUCCAUAAUUGUGAUCUUCACAAGCCAUUGCCCAGUGUAUUCAUUUAUUGAGCAUGAUAUAACAUAUAUCAGAAAUAAACCUAUACAUUCA
rnacentral:lncRNA from 1 species